rfam:Ipomoea nil DNA, scaffold: scaffold2780, cultivar: Tokyo-kokei standard.
GGUCCUAUGGUCUAGUAGUUAGGACAUUGGACUUUGAAUCUAAUAACUUGAGUUCAAAUUUUGGUGGGACCU